GAUUAACGCUGGCGGCGUGCAUAACACAUGCAAGUCGAACGAUGAAACUUAAAUGAUUUCUUCGGAAUGAACUUAAGUGGAUUAGUGGCGGACGGGUGAGUAACGCGUGAGUAACCUGCCUUACACAAGGGGAUAGCCGUUGGAAACGACGAAUAAUACCCUAUGAAACUAUCACUUCGCAUGAAGCGAUAGUCAAAGUGUUAGCGGUGUAAGAUGGACUUGCGUCUGAUUAGCUAGUUGGUGAGAAAAAAGCCCACCAAGGCAACGAUCAGUAGCCGGCUUGAGAGAGUGUACGGCCACAUUGGGACUGAGACACUGCCCAGACUCCUACGGGAGGCAGCAGUGGGGAAUUUUGCACAAUGGGGGAAACCCUGAUGCAGCGACGCCGCGUGAUUUAGAAGGCCUUCGGGUUGUAAAAAUCUUUUGUAUAGGAAGAAAAUGACAGUACUAUACGAAUAAGGUCCGGCUAAUUACGUG
rnacentral:rRNA from 1 species